GACGAACCGUGCGAACGUUGUUCGGAAUUACUGGGCGUAAAGCGUGCGCAGGCGGCUAUGCAAGACAGAUGUGAAAUCCCCGGGCUCAACCUGGGAACUGCAUUUGUGACUGCAUGGCUAGAGUACGGUAGAGGGGGAUGGAAUUCCGCGUGUAGCAGUGAAAUGCGUAGAUAUGCGGAGGAACACCGAUGGCGAAGGCAAUCCCCUGGACCUGUACUGACGCUCAUGCACGAAAGCGUGGGGAGCAAACAGG
rnacentral:rRNA from 1 species